AAUGUUUAAAGACGCUCAUGAGUUUGUUUCAAAGUGUGAUUCAUGCCAGAGAAAAGACAACAUCAGCAGAAGAAAUGAGAUGCCUCAGAAUCCAAUCUUGGAAGUUGAGAUCUUUGAUGUAUGGGGGAUUGAUUUUAUGGGUCCAUUCCCAUCUUCAUACGGUAACAAAUAUAUAUUGGUCGCCGUAGAUUACGUAUCAAAGUGCGUCGAAGCUAUUGCUAGUCCUACCAACGAUGCAAAAGUUGUGCUGAAGCUGUUCAAGACCAUAAUCUUCCCGAGAUUCGGAGUGCCCAGGGUAGUAAUCAGUGAUGGUGGGAAGCAUUUCAUCAACAAGGUUUUUGAGACCCUCCUGAAGAAGCAUGGAGUAAAGCACAAGGUCGCUAGUCCCUAUCAUCCACAGACGAGCGAGCAGGUUGAGAUCUCCAAUAGGGAGAUAAAAACAAUUCUAGAAAAGACUGUUGGGAUUACAAGAAAAGACUGGUCUGCAAAGCUCGAUGACACAUUAUGGGCUUAUAGGACAGCCUUUAAGACCCCAAUUGGUACAACACCUUUCAAUCUUCUCUAUGGAAAAUCAUGUCACCUACCUGUUGAGCUCGAGUACAAAGCAAUGUGGGCUGUAAAACUUCUGAACUUUGACAUAAAAACUGUUAAGGAGAAGCUAUUUAUCCAACUCAGUGACCUCGAUGAGAUCCGUUUAGAAGCUUAUGAGAGCUCUAAAAUCUAGAAGGAGAGAACUAAGCUUUUCCAUGACAAAAGAUCAUCACCAAGGAUUUCCAAGUUGGUGAUCAGGUGCUGCUAUUCAACUCUCGCUUGAAACUCUUUCCAAGAAAGCUUAAAUCCAGAUGGUCUGGCCCCUUCUGUAUCACUGAGGUCCGUCCUUAUGGAGCAGUUACUCUAGCUGGUAAGAGUGGAGAUUUCACAGUAAAUGGUCAAAGGCUCAAGAAAUACUUAGCGGAUCAAAUCCUUCCAGAGGUGACAUUGGUUCAUCUCCAAGAACUUCUUGAUGAUUAAAAGAGUAAAGGAGUCAAGCAAAUGACUUUAAACAAGCUCACUUGGGAGGAAGUCCCAUGACUAUCUCUGUAAAUAAAUUUUUCUUUUCUUGUUAUUUUUAAUUUGUCUUAGUUGUGUUUGUGGUUCUCAGGGACAAAGGAACAACGUGGAGAUAGAGUAAAAAUCCAAAACUUUUACUCUACAGAAGGCCAUGUAUCGCUAUCUCUCACCAAGAUUCACUCGACCCAUCUGUUUACUCGACCUCCAAAAAGCACUCGACCUCCGCACCGCCGACACCGAGUUCAUUUCCUCCGUCACUCGACCUUUUCACUUCGCCGUUCGCCAUCACUUUGUUCUCGCAACACUCGACCAUCUCUGCGCCGCCGCAAUCGAGUACUCUGCCUCGUUCACCGUCGAAGUCUCAUGGACAACUCGAUUACAACCACAGAACUCGACCACAAGCUUUCACUCGACCUCUACAACAAACCAUUCGACCUCUUGUUCUUGCAACCAACAGAGCCAUCCAACUUCAGAGAGUUUACUCGACCAACGGUUCUACUCUAAUAGAUCCAAUUCGAGUUAGUGUAACUCGAGAACAGCUUAGGUUACUCGAGUAUCAGAUUGUACUCGACCAAUUGGGUCUAUUUCAUUGCUUGUUGAUAACAAUUUUGGUUUCAUUGUUAUCUUUGAGACUAACCUAUUGACAUUUGAGCUUUGAGAUCUAGAUUUCUGGAGGAGAAUCAUGAGUAAUUACAGUGGCAGUUCUUCUGUUGAUCCUGACUACAACAUGGAUGAGACAGAGUCGUCGUCUUCAAGGCCAGAAAGAGAACAGAGAGAAUAUUCAGAAGAAAAGCUGAGAUAGCCCGUGGGAAGAGAGCAAUGACAGAGAGGUAUGAGCUUAUAGAUGAGGAUCAGGAAGACGAGUACAUGCCUGAGCAUACUCGUAGAGCUACCAAACUUCUGCACAAACCUGAUGUAUUGCCUGCUGAGGAAUAUAUUAGGCUCUUCAAAUUGAAUGAGUUUUGUAGCACAAGGUAUCCAUGCUCGACCACGCUUGCACAAUUUGGAUUGUUGGAGGAUGUUCAGCACCUGUACCAGAGUUGUCAUCUGGACACUCUGAUGGCUUAUUCGUAUGUAGCAUAUGAAGAAUAGACAAUUCAAUUCCUCUCCACGCUGCAAGUGGAGCUCUACCAAGGUAUGACCUCUGAUGAAUUGGAUUGUGAAGGAUUGGGAUUCUUGAGAUUCUCUGUGUAUGGUCAUGAGUAUAGGUUAUCAAUCAAGCGCUUGGAAGGAUUGUUUGGUUUCCCCAGUGGGACGGGAACUAAGCCCAAGUAUGACAGAGAAGAGUUGAAAGACUUGUGGAUCACCAUUGGCACCUCUGUACCGCUGAAUUCUUCCAGGUCAAAGAGCAAUCAGAUACGUAGCCCUGUCAUCAGGUAUUUCCAGCGUUCUAUAACCAAUGUACUCUACUCCCGAGAGAUCAUAGGGACUGUUACUAAUUCUGAUAUGGAGAUGAUCGCUAUGGCUCUCAAGGGCACUCUCCGCCAAACUAAGAACAACAUGUCUGUCCAAGGUUAAAUCAAUGACACACCUCUCUCUGUACUUCUUUUGAUCCAUCUGAGUGGAUACAAGAGCUGGGCUGUCAGCAAUAACCACAAGAGAGCUGUUCCUCCUCCACUACAACUAUUCCACAGGGACAACCUCCUCUAGAGAUGCCAUCGAGGAGAUUUGAUGAGCCUGAGCACAUGCCUGAGCUUAGUGAGCAGAGAGUCUCACAUGUCCCGGCUAGGCAUUCGUCAUUCGAGUCCCAGGAGCACAAGAGAAGGAGGAAGGCUACACUCACUCGAUCUAGCAGCAGAUCACGCAUAAUUCACUCGAGGAGAUCACUCGACCGCGGUGCUGGCCGCAGUAGAAGAAGAGAGGUCGAGUAUCCUCAGAGCGGUGUUGGCCGCCACAGAGCUGAUGAGGUCGAGUACCCACCUGCUGGAGCUGAUACGGAACAGGGCGGUUCGUCUAUGGCCUGGGAGCAAUCACAGGCAGCCAUUGACGACCAACUUCAUUCAUUCUUCGACUGAGGUAAGCGCCUCACUUCACCAUUGUAUUAUAUCAUCUGUUGUGAUUUGUUCUUUCUUUUGUUUCUGUGAAUGGAUUUGUCCUGAGUACUCUCUUCCAAGUUUAUCACACAAUGUACUGUGUGAUUUAAGUUUGGGGGAGGGCUCAGGAAGUGUGUGUUGCAUUGUGUAUAUUUUUGAGUCUGCAUUCAUCUAAGGCAUAGAAAAACCAAAACAAUUGGAAAAUUUUCAUAAAAUGAUU
rnacentral:sRNA from 1 species